CUGAGUAUGCGGUCUUCGGACCCGCUACCCGCCCUUUGUCAUUUGCUGGACGAGGUCGCUUUCGGGCGGCCUCCGACCACACUUCCCGGGAAGCGUUGUUGCCCCCCCCAUCAGGCUAGUCCUGGGGGGGGUAGGACCGCCCGGGGUCUUUUCUCAAACCCUUGCGAGAAUCUGAAGUCUGAAUGAAAAAUAAAUGAAGCA
rnacentral:misc_RNA from 1 species